GAUCCUGGCUCAGAUUGAACGCUGGCGGCAGGCUUAACACAUGCAAGUCGAGCGGAGAGAGGUAGCUUGCUACUGAUCUUAGCGGCGGACGGGUGAGUAAUACUUAGGAAUCUGGCUAUUAGUGGGGGACAACAUUUCGAAAGGGAUGCUAAUACCGCAUACGUCCUACGGGAGAAAGCAGGGGAUCUUCGGACCUUGCGCUAAUAGAUGAGCCUAAGUCGGAUUAGCUAGUUGGUGGGGUAAAGG
rnacentral:rRNA from 1 species